CCUACGGGUGGCUGCAGUAGGGAAUAUUGCAAAAUGGGCGAAAGCCUGAUGCAGCAACGCCGCGUGAGUGAUGAAGGCCUUCGGGUCGUAAAACUCUUUUCGAGAGGAUGAGGAAGGACAGUACUCUCGGAAUAAGCCUCGGCUAACUACGUGCCAGCAGCCGCGGUAAAACGUAGGAGGCGAGCGUUAUCCGGAUUUACUGGGCGUAAAGCGCGUGUAGGCGGAACGGAAAGUUGGAUGUGAAAGCUCCUGGCUUAACUGGGAGAGGUCGUUCAAAACUACCGAUCUAGAGUGCAGUAGAGGGAAGUGGAAUUCCGGGUGUAGUGGUGAAAUGCGUAGAUAUCCGGAGGAACACCAGUGGCGAAAGCGGCUUCCUGGACUGUAACUGACGCUCAGACGCGAAAGCUAGGGUAGCAAACGGGAUUAGAUACCCCAGUAGUC
rnacentral:rRNA from 1 species